UACAGAGGUCUCAAGCGUUGUUCGGAUUCAUUGGGCGUAAAGGGUGCGUAGGCGGUAGGGUAAGUCUGGUGUGAAAUCUUGGGGCUCAACCUCAAAAUUGCACUGGAUACUGCUCUGCUUGAGGACUGGAGAGGAGAUUGGAAUUCACGGUGUAGCAGUGAAAUGCGUAGAUAUCGUGAGGAAGACCAGUGGCGAAGGCGAAUCUCUGGACAGAUCCUGACGCUGAGGCACGAAGGCCAGGGGAGCAAACGGG
rnacentral:rRNA from 1 species